UACGUAGGCAGCAAGCGUUGUUCGGAGUUACUGGGCGUAAAGGGUGUGUAGGCGGCUUCGUAAGUUCGGUGUGAAAUCUCCCGGCUCAACUGGGAGGGUGCGCCGAAAACUGGGGAGCUGGAGCGCAGGAGAGGAAAGCAGAAUUCCUGGUGUAGCGGUGAAAUGCGUAGAUAUCAGGAGGAAUACCGGUGGUGAAGACGGCUUUCUGGACUGCUGCUGACGCUGAUACACGAAAGCGUGGGGAGCAAACAGG
rnacentral:rRNA from 1 species